GGUGAACGCUGGCGGCGUGCCUAAUACAUGCAAGUCGAGCGAACAGACGAGGAGCUUGCUCCUCUGACGUUAGCGGCGGACGGGUGAGUAACACGUGGAUAACCUACCUAUAAGACUGGGAUAACUUCGGGAAACCGGAGCUAAUACCGGAUAAUAUAUUGAACCGCAUGGUUCAAUAGUGAAAGACGGUUUUGCUGUCACUUAUAGAUGGAUCCGCGCCGCAUUAGCUAGUUGGUAAGGUAACGGCUUACCAAGGCAACGAUGCGUAGCCGACCUGAGAGGGUGAUCGGCCACACUGGAACUGAGACACGGUCCAGACUCCUACGGGAGGCAGCAGUAGGGAAUCCUCCGCAAUGGGCGAAAGCCUGACGGAGCAACGCCGCGUGAGUGAUGAAGGUCUUCGGAUCGUAAAACUCUGUUAUUAGGGAAGAACAAAUGUGUAAGUAACUAUGCACGUCUUGACGGUACCUAAUCAGAAAGCCACGGCUAACUACGUG
rnacentral:rRNA from 1 species